AUGGUGCAAUAUCCAAGCUUGUACCGGAUCGUCAGACAUAAAUUUGUCACGAUCAAACAAGUCUUAGGACAGGAAAACCCUGAUAUUUCUUUCCGUAGGGAUCUUUUGGGGACUCGUCUGACAGCAUGGAAUGAAUUACUCACUCGCCUGGAAGACAUUCAACUGUCAGAUGAGCCGGACACUUUUCGAUGGAACUUGCAUCAGAAUGGCAAAUUUUCGGUCAAAUCCAUGUAUGAUGCAAUGGUUCAUUGUGAUGUUCCAGUAGAUAACAUGAAAUUGUGGAAGCUAAAAAUUCCCCUAAGAGUGAAGAUUUUCCUCUGGUUUCUUAACAAAGGAGUCAUCCUAACUAGAGAUAAUCUGGCACGACGAAACUGGCAUGGUUCCAAGACAUGUGUCUUUUGCCAACAUGACGAGUUUAUCAAACACCUAUUUUUUGAGUGCAAGUUCGCUCGGGCAGUUUGGGCUAUGGUCCAAGUAGCUUCGAAUUUAUACCCACCACGUAGUGCACGGAAUAUGUUCGGCAACUGGUUGCGGGGUAUAGAUAAACAAUUUUCUGCACAUAUUCUUGUGGGAGCGGCGGCUUUAUGCUGGGCAAUGUGGCUUACCAGGAAUGAUGUGGUUUUUAUCAAUAAAUGUGUCUCAUCUCCUAUGCAGGUUAUUCAUGUAUGUACACGAUGGCUCCGUACUUGGUCUAUCCUGCAGAAGCCGGAAGACAGGGACAUUUUUAUGAUGGCGUCUACACGGCUGGAGCGUACGGCCAGGGAGGUUUUCUACCCCCAUGGAUGGCGGUGUGAUUUACGGAUAGGAUCUACCGCUCCUUAG
rnacentral:rRNA from 1 species